GAUGAAGGUAGCGAAAUGCGAUAAGUAAUGUGAAUUGCAGAAUUCAGUGAAUCAUCGAAUCUUUGAACGCACAUUGCGCCCGCCAGUAUUCUGGCGGGCAUGCCUGUUCGAGCGUCAUUACAACCCUCAGGCCCCCGGGCCUGGCGUUGGGGAUCGGCGGAGCCCCCCGUGGGCACACGCCGUCCCCCAAAUACAGUGGCGGUCCCGCCGCAGCUUCCAUCGCGUAGUAGCUAACACCUCGCGACUGGAGAGCGGCGCGGCCACGCCGUAAAACACCCAACUCUUCUGAAGUUGACCUCGAAUCAGGUAGGAAUACCCGCUGAACUUAAGCAUAUCAAUAAGCGGAGGA
rnacentral:misc_RNA from 1 species